GAUUGAACAUGGACCACCAGCACUGCCACCAAAGGAUAUGACAGAGAUGUUUAAAACAUUUUUUAUCUUAUUUUUUCCCCCGACGUUUGCAUGAAGAGUAUACUGCCCGCACUGUCUUCUGUCACGAAAGAAUUGUAGACCAUUUGCUGAA